rnacentral:rRNA from 1 species
AUUGAACGCUGGCGGCAUGCCUUACACAUGCAAGUCGAACGGUAACAGGUUAAGCUGACGAGUGGCGAACGGGUGAGUAAUGUAUCGGAACGUGCCCAGUCGUGGGGGAUAACUGCUCGAAAGAGCAGCUAAUACCGCAUACGACCUGAGGGUGAAAGCGGGGGAUCGCAAGACCUCGCGCGAUUGGAGCGGCCGAUAUCAGAUUAGGUAGUUGGUGAGGUAAAGGCUCACCAAGCCGACGAUCUGUAGCUGGUCUGAGAGGACGACCAGCCACACUGGGACUGAGACACGGCCCAGACUCCUACGGGAGGCAGCAGUGGGGAAUGUUGGACAAUGGGCGCAAGCCUGAUCCAGCCAUGCCGCGUGCGGGAAGAAGGCCUUCGGGUUGUAAACCGCUUUUGUCAGGGAAGAAAAGGUUCUGGCUAAUACCUGGGACUCAUGACGGUACCUGAAGAAUAAGCACCGGCUAACUACG